AAACUUUCAACAACGGAUCUCUUGGUUCCG
rnacentral:ncRNA from 3 species